CCAGUCCCAGUGUCCACUCUGGGGUCUUUUUUUCACUGUCCUCCUCCCCUCUCUGAAGUUGAACAUAAGCUCCUUGCGGGUGGCAUCUGGAACACUGGGCAGCUCGAGAGGGGAAAUGCCUCAACCGGCGCCACAGUAGACCAACUUCAGCAACACUGAUAAGAGCUUCCAUGCUUCAGUGCUUGAUCUGGGAACCUCAUCCCAGACAUUUUCUCCCUGAAUCACACCAAAGCCCUUUCCUGAUACACAGUGAGGACAGGAGCUGAGUCAGAAAAAAAAAAUCCAAGUCCAAGAGGAGAGAUCGUGAGAUCUAUUAAGAAACAGCAUGUGUACUUGAGAGGGGACCGAGAGCGAAGCUCUUUUUUCAUGGAGAAGCCCAGCGGCCCGACUCAUGAUUUCAACAACAACCCAGAGAAGCAGUGGCUCACUCAUCAUCUCUCCACAGAUAUCCUUUGUGAUUGACCCACAGCCGUAAACAAAUAAGUGGGCCAUAUUUGCUAGGAGAGGAGAUACCAGAAUGAACCACUAGACUGGUCUGAAUCAAGCCUGGUCCAGGACGGAAAGGAAGUCGCAUAAAGCCACUGGAAAGGGGACCUUGAGGAUUAGAAGAUGCUCUUACCCUCUUUGACCAAAGAAAAUCCCAAAAGCUAUUUCCCAAGGUCUGUUCGGGAUCUCCAAGAGCUGAGACAACUCCACAUCGUGGUCUGCAAAGGGAGAAGGGAGGGAGAAAAUUAAGAACUGAAAAUAAAAUAAAAUUGGAUUUAAAAAAGGAAUUAUGA
rnacentral:lncRNA from 1 species